rnacentral:rRNA from 1 species
CAGCAGCCGCGGUAAUACGUAGGUCCCGAGCGUUGUCCGGAUUUAUUGGGCGUAAAGCGAGCGCAGGCGGUUAGAUAAGUCUGAAGUUAAAGGCUGUGGCUUAACCAUAGUACGCUUUGGAAACUGUUAACUUGAGUGCAGAAGGGGAGAGUGGAAUUCCAUGUGUAGCGGUGAAAUGCGUAGAUAUACGGAGGAACACCGGUGGCGAAAGCGGCUCUCUGGUCUGUAACUGACGCUGAGGCUCGAAAGCGUGGGGAGCAAACAGGAUUAGAUACCCCUGUAGUCCCUGUCUCUUAUACAC